ACUCCUACGGGAGGCAGCAGUGGGGAAUAUUGCACAAUGGGGGAAACCCUGAUGCAGCCAUGCCGCGUGUGUGAAGAAGGCCUUCGGGUUGUAAAGCACUUUCAGCGAGGAGGAAAGGGUGUGUGUUAAUACCAUAAUCGUGACGUUACUCGCAGAAGAAGCACCGGCUAACUCCGUGCCAGCAGCCGCGGUAAUACGGAGGGUGCGAGCGUUAAUCGGAAUUACUGGGCGUAAAGCGUGCGCAGGCGGUUUGUUAAGCGAGAUGUGAAAG
rnacentral:rRNA from 1 species